UACGAAGGGGGCUAGCGUUGCUCGGAAUUACUGGGCGUAAAGGGCGCGUAGGCGGCGGAUCAAGUCAGGCGUGAAAUUCCUGGGCUUAACCUGGGGGCUGCGCUUGAGACUGAUGUGCUUGAGGAUGGCAGAGGCUCGUGGAAUUCCCAGUGUAGAGGUGAAAUUCGUAGAUAUUGGGAAGAACACCGGUGGCGAAGGCGGCGAGCUGGGCCAUUACUGACGCUGAGGCGCGACAGCGUGGGGGAGCAAACAGG
rnacentral:rRNA from 1 species